rnacentral:tRNA from 1 species
GCCUGGGUGGCUCAGCUGGUUGAGCAUCUGACUUCAACUCAGGUCAUGAUCUUGCAGUUCAUGGGUUUGAGCCCCAUGUCGGGUU